UACGGAGGAUGCAAGCGUUAUCCGGAUUUAUUGGGUUUAAAGGGUGCAUAGGCGGGAUAAUAAGUCAGUGGUGGGAUACUACAGCUCAACUGUAGAACUGCCAUUGAUACUGUUAACCUUGAGUACAUUUGAAGUGGGCGGAAUGUGUCAUGUAGCGGUGAAAUGCUUAGAGAUGACACAGAACACCGAUAGCGAAGGCAGCUCACUAAACUGUAACUGACGCUGAGGCACGAAAGCGUGGGGAUCAAACAGG
rnacentral:rRNA from 1 species